rnacentral:rRNA from 1 species
AACGCGAAGAACCUUACCAAGGUUUGACAUGCAGGGAAAAGCCGUAGAGAUACGGUGUCCGUAAGGGUCCUGCACAGGUGGUGCAUGGCUGUCGUCAGCUCGUGUCGUGAGAUGUUGGGUUAAGUCCCGCAACGAGCGCAACCCUCGUCCUAUGUUGCCAGCGGGUAAUGCCGGGGACUCAUAGGAGACUGCCGGGGUCAACUCGGAGGAAGGUGGGGAUGACGUCAAGUCCUCAUGCCCCUUAUGUCUUGGGCUGCAAACAUGCUACAAUGGCCAGUACAAAGGGUUGCGAGACCGCAAGGUGGAGCGAAUCCCAAAAAAGCUGGUCUCAGUUCGGAUUGGGGUCUGCAACUCGACCCCAUGAAGUCGGAGUCGCUAGUAAUCGCAGAUCAGCAACGCUGCGGUGAAUACGUUCCCGGGCCUUGUA